rnacentral:lncRNA from 10 species
GUUGCGGGCGCCUGUAGUCCCAGCUACUCGGGAGGCUGAGGCAGGAGAACGGCGUGAACCCGGAAGGCGGAGCUUGCAGUGAGCGGAGAUCGCGCCAUUACACUCCAGCCUGGGAGAGACAGAGCGAGACUCCGUCUCGGGAAAAAAAAAAAAAAAAAAAAAAAGGCAUAAAGCAUUGAUUGUCAAGUGGUCUGGUAAGAAAAUACUUACUGCGCUUCCUUACUUUUGCUCAUUUUUCAUUCCCAAAAGGGCUUCUUUUCAGUUUCUCUGACCCUCGGGCAUCUUUCUCCCAGCCCCCUUGUUUCAGUUUCCUGCUUGCCCACCAAUAACCUCGUUAGAGCCACACCACACACAUGGUUCGCCUGCUGCUGACAACAGACAGAGCUCAUGGGCAAUUUUAAUAGUGCAGAUGUUAUUUCUCUUCUUCUCAGAGGAACGGCCUCUGAGAGCCCCACAGUGAUGGGGCUAUAACCCCAGAAACCUGAGGGAUCUGUCUCCAUAACCCAAACACCUCCCACCAAGCCCCACCUCCAACACUGGUAAUCACAUUUCAACAUUAGAUUUGGAGGGGACAAAUAUCCAAACU